rnacentral:rRNA from 1 species
UACGUAGGUGACAAGCGUUGUCCGGAUUUACUGGGCGUAAAGAGCGCGCAGGCGGUCGUUCAAGUCGAGUGUGAAAGCCCCCGGCUCAACUGGGGAGGGUCACUCGAUACUGAUCGACUCGAAGGCAGGAGAGGGAAGUGGAAUUCCCGGUGUAGUGGUGAAAUGCGUAGAUAUCGGGAGGAACACCAGUGGCGGAAGGCGGACUUCCUG